CUCUUUGUUGGGAACCGGAUGGAUCGUCCGUCAUGUGCUACCAACAAAGAUGCACGAAAAAUAGAGAAAAUCGACCGAACGGUAAAAAAAAUAAAUGCAGAAAGAAGAAACCAAGAUUUACGUGGUUCGGCAAUCGCCUACGUCCACGGGGAGAGCGAGAGAGAUGUAUUCCACUAUAUGAAGAAAUAGAAGUACAAGCUUACACCUUAUGUCUUCUCCGGAUAAAAAAUCAAGAACCUUAUGGUGAAUCCCACUUANAGAGCGAGAGAGAUGUAUUCCACUAUAUGAAGAAAUAGAAGUACAAGCUUACACCUUAUGUCUUCUUCGGAUAAAAAACCAAAAACCUUAUGGUGAAUCCCACCUAUCUUGUUCCAACGAAAACUCCAAGAAAAUACCGAAAAAGCUUUUCAUAAAACCGAGAAAACCAAAUUAGAGAAGUAUAGAAACUCUAACCAAAUUCCUUUAUGCCGUUGCUUCGAAGAAUCCGAACCGCUCAGGCAAUUGGUUGAGAACCGCCGCUCCGCCGCCAACGUCAAUCCGUCGCAUGCGUGCUACCGCGCAUCUCCUUCUCUUGCUACCGUCGUACGGCUCCCGGAACCAUGAAUU
rnacentral:lncRNA from 1 species